rnacentral:misc_RNA from 1 species
GAAUUUUCCUACCUUGAUGGGAAUGUUUUCUAGGAUGCCAAUCGGGCACUUAACAGACCGAUCAGCAAAUUGCAGUGAAAUUGUUGCAGGUUUGAGCUCUCAUACAUCCAGCUUUUGACAUAUUGAUAGAGACAUCAGACUCACACUUGCACCUAAAUCACAGAGUGUCUUGUCUAUGUUCAUGUUGCCAAUAAGACAAUAUAUGGAGAAGCUUCCUAGAUCCUUGAGCUUUGGUGGCAGCUUGUUUUGUAAUAUGGCACUGCAUUCCUCUGUA